GCGCCUGUAGCUCAGCUGGUAGAGCAUCCGACUUUUAAUCGGCAGGUCCCGGGUUCGAGUCCCGGCGGGCGUACCA
rnacentral:tRNA from 2 species